GAUGAACGCUGGCGGCGUGCCUAAUACAUGCAAGUCGAGCGAACAGACGAGGAGCUUGCUCCUCUGACGUUAGCGGCGGACGGGUGAGUAACACGUGGAUAACCUACCUAUAAGACUGGGAUAACUUCGGGAAACCGGAGCUAAUACCGGAUAAUAUAUUGAACCGCAUGGUUCAAUAGUGAAAGACGGUUUUGCUGUCACUUAUAGAUGGAUCCGCGCCGCAUUAGCUAGUUGGUAAGGUAACGGCUUACCAAGGCAACGAUGCGAAGCCGACCUGAGAGGCUGAUCGGCCACACGGGAACUGAGACAGGGUCCAGACCCCUACGGGAGGCAGCAGUAGGGAAUCUUCCGCAAUGGGCGAAAGCCUGACGGGGCAACGCCGCGUGAGUGAUGAAGGUCUUCGGAUCGUAAAACUCUGUUAUUAGGGAAGAACAAAUGUGUAAGUAACUAUGCACGUCUUGACGGUACCUAAUCAGAAAGCCACGGCUAACUACGUG
rnacentral:rRNA from 1 species